CGUUAAGAAGCUAAACCGGGUUACAGCGUUAGCCUUUUAAGCUAAAAACUGGUGGUUCCCACCCACCCUUAACGU
rnacentral:tRNA from 1 species